rnacentral:pre_miRNA from 1 species
AACUAGCCUGUGAAACUGCCACAGUUCAACAGGUACCUGUCGAACCACAGUUGUUUCAUAGGUUCCUCUGUCGAGCCAUAGUUGUUCGACAGGGUG